UUUCAUGGUGGGCUGGAUAAGGGAGCCGAAAGGCUCGCCGUUAACCUUUGGGACGGUAAGGUCAACCUUGUUCAGUUCACCGCCAAU
rnacentral:antisense_RNA from 1 species